UGCUACCAUUUCUCAACAAAGAUGCCUGUAAAUGUUAGUUACCGAAAGGUUAUGUGACACUGGACUGUUGAGCACAACCCGUAACUCAUAUUGGUAAAAACCUAGUAAUUGCAGCCAGCUGGAAGCCUCUCUGUACAUUGUAUAGUACAGUAUCAAGGACAGGCUGUUGGUAAACAGUCAAACAUCAGGAUGGGAAGAGCCUCUUACUUAGCUGUGAUUUUCAUCUGUUUUGUUUCCAGUAGCAGGAUAUCUGGACAGUCAUGUGAAGGAAAAUGUGGUGGCAAAUUAGAAUCCUGUUCUUGCCAUGCCACUUGUGUAUCCCUCGAUAACUGCUGUGUGGACUACGGGGAGUACUGUGUCGAUGUCACUCCAUAUUCCGGAUCAAUAUUUGGUGGAACUGACUUUAUUGUCCUCAAAGCAACUUUUAAUGAGAGCUCCCAAAUAAUCUGCAGGUUCAAUGAUGAAAUCAAAACGGUGGGCUAUGUGGACACAGACAGCAGAGGCCACUGCAUAUCACCUCUACUGUAUGAAACAGGGUCGGUUCCUUUUCAGAUCUCUACAGACAAUGGUACAACCUUCAGCAGACAUGGAGCUUGGUUAUCAGUCCAUCCUGGAAAGUUAGAUCCCAGUUUCAAAGCUACUAUAAUCAACGCAACCCAGUGGCAGUACUACGGCACCCCAAAAGUUGGAGGCCCGCUGGACAUGACAUGGAACACCUCACAGGUCAGAGCAGAAAAGGUCAACAUAGAGCUCUGGGGAUACAUGGAGAAAGGGGAUCCCUACUCAGAGUCCUGGCAGGGUAAAUGGGAGUACCUGUACUCUCUUGGGAGGGACCAGCCUAACAAUGGUGCCUUCAGAUUUGUGCCCAAGACAGCAGGGAAGCCCUUCUCAGACUGGGAGGUCGGCUGUCUACGCAUCAGCGCCAGUACUCACCCAGAUGGAACAUGGAAUGUCCAGGCAGUGUGGACUGAGGACCAUGCUCUAGCCUGGCAUCUGGAGGACAAGUUCAGGCAGGACUCAGCCAUCUGGGCACUGGAUAAGUGUAAAGCCUGGGACCAGCUGGAGGAGACACUGCCAGACUUCCUCUCUGAAAUUAUUGACUGUCCAUGCACACUGGCUCAGGCUAGAGCAGACACUGGGAGGUUUCAUACAGAUUAUGGCUGUGAUAUGGAGAAGGGGAGUGUGUGUACCUACCACCCAGGAAGUGUGCACUGUGUGCGGGCCAUACAAGCCAGCCCCAAGUUUGCAGCAGGACAGCAGUGUUGCUAUGACCACACGGGGGCCCAGGUUUUGACAGAUGACUCCAUUGGCGGGAGUACCCCAGACAGAGCCCAUGACUGGGGCUCACCCCCAUUUGUAAAGCCCCCCAGAGUCCCUGGGUUCUCCCACUGGCUCUACGACGUCCUCAGCUUCUACUACUGCUGCCUGUGGUCUGACAACUGUCACUACUACUUCAAACGCAGACCCUCUAGUGACUGCAGGACCUACCAAGUAGCAAAAGCAGGUGUGGUGUUUGGAGACCCCCACUUCAUAACAUUUGAUGGCGUCAGUUACUCCUUCAAUGGAAAGGGGGAAUACACCAUUAUGGUCUCAGAAAGCAAGGAACUGACAAUACAGGGCAGAACAGAGCCGGUAAUACUGACAAAUGGCAGCAUGGUGAAAGCAACAAAGCUAUCAGCGGUUGCCAUGAGAGAGGGGACCUCUGACAUCAUUGAGGUGCGACUCGGAAAACCUCAGGACCACCUACAGGUGCUGCAGAACCAAACCUCCCUCUCCUUCUCUGAGCAGAGCUGGAUGGAUCUGAAGGGUGUGUUUGUAUUUUCGCCCAACCCUACAAAUGUGACUGUCAUGUUCCCCUCUGGAGCUGGAGUGGAACUGAGACUGAGAGGGGGAACCAUGACAACCACAGUGCUUCUACCAGAGGUGUUUAAGGAUUUUACCCGUGGACUGUUAGGAAAGAUGAACGGUGAUCCCAAAGAUGACCUGGUUACCAGUGAUGGUCAGACUGAGUCUGAUCAAGGCAAUGCAGAGGGGCUGUUUAAUUUCGGGGCAAGCUGGGCUAUAUUGAACGAGUCCACGCUCUUCACGUACGAUUCGGAACACUUGUUGAACUCAUAUCUCCAUGCUCCAAAACACGACGCCAGUUUCCGUCCAGUGUUUUCCAUCCCUGAGGAUCCAAAUGAUCCUCUCGGCAGCCAGGCCUCUGAGCUGUGCUCUGGAGAGGGCUCUCUGUACUGUAGAUAUGAUACGCUGAUGGCUCGUAGUCUGGAGAUGGGCAAUGCCACCAGGGUAUCUUUUCAGAGCCACAGGUCUGUAGUGGAGGAUCUAGAGCCAGUGGUGUCCUGUGGCUGGCUUUCUCCACCCACAAAUGGAAAGAAGGAGGGGACCAGAUAUUUACAGGGAGCUGUGGUGAAGCUGUCCUGUGACUCUGGCUAUGUCCUCUGGGGGUCAGAGGAGCACACAUGCCUGGGGACUGGUCAAUGGUCUGGUGAAACCACGACCUGCGUGGCUGGUAUGGACAAUAGCUGAAAUCAACAGCAAAAUUCUAUGCUACUCGUAUGAAUCAUCGCUGAAAUCAACAGCAACAUGAUAUAUGCUCCUGGUAUGUAGGAAAUACCAGUAUGAAAAUGUAUUGUGGCAGACCAGGGGGUUUGGUCAAAACAUUUACACAGAUCAGACACGGACAGAGUAGGAUUAGCUCAGUUUCAAAGGUAUUUAUUAAAAUAAUAGUCCAAAAGAAUUGGUCUCCCCCAAGAGACCCUCUCCGGGAUACCAUCUUCUGGGCUCCGGGUCUAGCUGUAUCCUGUGGUGAUCAAAAACAUGAACCCUAUCCUGUUACCGCCCCCAACUAUACAGGAGUCCGUUCCUCCUCCAGUCUCUCCCCAGUGUGUUGCCCUUCUGGCAGUUUUAUGGGAUGUGUACAGCUGGUGAGCAAUCAGCCCUUGAUUACUCACCAAUCCCCAAUCAGCCCCAAUUAGUCCUGACAGGAGAGCCCGUCGAGACCUGGCACGUCCAGCAGAUGGAGCCAUCGCCUCGUGAUCUAUACUCCGUCUGUCACCAGGCCUCGACAAGUCUCCCCCUGGUGGCUGACCUGCUGUACGCCACAAUAAUCUCAGGGGAAUUGUGGUUGGUUCAGUUAUUGGAGCACUAGCAUUAAUCCUAGUGAUAGUAACACUCAUAAUCAACAGCAGACAACA